rnacentral:rRNA from 1 species
AGGGUUUGAUCAUGGCUCAGAACGUACGCUGGCGGCACGCCUAAUACAUGCAAGUCGAACGGGGUAGCAAUACCUAGUGGCAGACGGGUGAGUAACAUGUGGGUAUCUUCCCUUUGGUGAGGAAUAACACGAGGAAACUUGUGCCAAUACCUCAUAAGUCUUUACGGAGAAAGCUUUAUGCGCCAAUGGAUGAGCCCGCACUUGAUUAGUUAGUUGGUAGGGUAAAAGCCUACCAAGACUUUGAUCAAUAGCUGAUUUGAGAGGAUGAUCAGCCACAUUGGGACUGAGACACGGCCCAAACUCCUACGGGAGGCAGCAGUAGGGAAUCUUGCACAAUGGAGGAAACUCUGAUGCAGCGAUGCCGCGUGAGUGAAGAAGGCCUUUGGGUUGUAAAGCUCUUUCGUCGGGGAAGAAAAUGACUGUACCCGAAUAAGAAGGUCCGGCUAACUUCGUGCCAGCCGCCGCGGUAAUAC